rnacentral:rRNA from 1 species
UACGAAGGGGGCUAGCGUUGCUCGGAAUCACUGGGCGUAAAGGGUGCGUAGGCGGGUCUUUAGGUCAGGGGUGAAAUCCUGGAGCUCAACUCCAGAACUGCCUUUGAUACUGAAGAUCUUGAGUUCGGGAGAGGUGAGUGGAACUGCGAGUGUAGAGGUGAAAUUCGUAGAUAUUCGCAAGAACACCAGUGGCGAAGGCGGCUCACUGGCCCGGUACUGACGCUGAGGCACGAAAGCGUGGGGAGCAAACAGG